rnacentral:rRNA from 1 species
AUUGAACGCUGGCGGCAGGCCUAACACAUGCAAGUCGAACGGUAACAGGAAGAAGCUUGCUUCUUUGCUGACGAGUGGCGGACGGGUGAGUAAUGUCUGGGAAACUGCCUGAUGGAGGGGGAUAACUACUGGAAACGGUAGCUAAUACCGCAUAACGUCGCAAGACCAAAGAGGGGGACCUUCGGGCCUCUUGCCAUCGGAUGUGCCCAGAUGGGAUUAGCUAGUAGGUGGGGUAACGGCUCACCUAGGCGACGAUCCCUAGCUGGUCUGAGAGGAUGACCAGCCACACUGGAACUGAGACACGGUCCAGACUCCUACGGGAGGCAGCAGUGGGGAAUAUUGCACAAAGGGCGCAAGCCUGAUGCAGCCAUGUCGCGUGUAUGAAGAAGGCCUUCGGGUUGUAAAGUACUUUCAGCGGGGAGGAAGGGAGUAAAGUUAAUACCUUUGCUCAUUGACGUUACCCGCAGAAGAAGCACCGGCUAACUCCGUG